GGUUGUUCAUUUCUGACCCCCUGGUGUGGCUGGGAGAGGGCCAUUAAUGGAAAGAAGUCACAAAUUAAUACAACAUAUAUGGACUGCAAGCAGGCCUUGACCAAUCAAACUUUACUUUUAGAUAAACAUAAAAAUCCUUGCUAGUCAUGGACCACAGCUGGCCUACCGCCCCCACAGCACCGACGGGGAACAAAGUUCCAGAUUCCCAACAAGCUGACUCCCUGGACCACCUCCCGCGCAGUUUUGCAAUGGCUGGCUCCGAUGAAAUAUCUGCAUAUGCACGUGCUGCUUACAUGGGAGGAGCGGCAACACACGGAGGGGCGGGAAACUAUGCUGUGCAGCGACAGCAGAAUCCUCAACA